GAGGGUAUAUCUCAGUGGUAGAGCACAUACCUAGCAUGCUUGUGGUCCUGGGUUCAACCUCCAGUACCUCCA
rnacentral:tRNA from 1 species